AUUGAACGCUAGCGGGAUGCCUUACACAUGCAAGUCGAACGAGUGGCGGACGGGUGAGUAAUAUAUCGGAAUGUGCCCAGUAGCGGGGGAUCACAAAUGGACAGAGUGGCCAAUUCCGUAUACUCUUGGAGAGGCCGAUAUCGGAUUAGCUAGUUGGUGGGGGAAAGGCGUACAAAGGCGACGAUCCGUAGAUGGUUUGAGAGGAUGACCAGCCACACGGGAACUGAGACACGGCCCAGACUCCUACGGGAGGCAGCAGUGGGGAAUUUUGGACAAUGGGGGAAAGCCUGAUCCAGCCAUCCCGCGUGUAUGAGAAGGCCUUCGGAUUGUAAAGUACUUUUAGCUGGGAAGCGUUAUCUGCAGAAUAAGCACCGGCUAACUACGUGCCAGCAGCCGCGGUAAUUC
rnacentral:rRNA from 1 species